ensembl:lncRNA
GUUAUUGUAUUUUACGCGAGACGCUGUGAGGUGUGCAGGGGUCCCGCUGCUCACGAACACAAUAUUUACACAAUUAUUCAGAUUUUUUGACAUUUUUUUCGGCGUUUUUCUGCAGUCAGGAUGCCCAAAAGAAAGAUUGAUGGUGAGAAGGCCGCCAAAGGCAAGGAGGUGCCAACAAGACGCUCCGCGAGGUUGUCUGCUAAACCAGCUCCUCCUAAACCAGAACCAAAGCCCAAAAAAGCCGCCCCCAAGAAGCCAGCCAAGGGGAAGAAGGGCAGCAACCCUGCUGAAAACGGAGACGCCAAGGCAGACCAGGCACAGAAGGUUGACGCUGCUGGCGAUGCUAAAUGAGAAGCUAACGAGUGUCUGAUCCUUCUAUGUACUUGGUGACUGUACAGUUUGAAAUAACUAUUUUUUACCAAGUUUUAUAUUAAGAAUUACAUUUAUAGUUGACUUGUUGAUUUGACAGGAGUUACUAUAUUUCAUUCAUAUCCCGUUUUUUUUUCAAUCAAGCCGUCUAUAUCUUGCCAAAACAGUUUGCCCUGGGUAAAUCUGUUGGCGAAACAUAAGAAUUUUGUCCUAAAGUUUGUUUUAUUGCUUUAUCUUUCUUCCUUUCUUGGUUUUAUCUUUGGAUUUUAAACACCAAACAUUCUCAAAAGGCAGCUUAAGAGUGUUU